rnacentral:tRNA from 1 species
GGGGUUGUAGCUCAGUGGAAGAGUGCUUUCCUAGCAUGUAUGAGGCACCUGGGUUCCAUUCUCAGCACCACA